rnacentral:rRNA from 1 species
GAUGAACGCUGGCGGCGUGCCUAAUACAUGCAAGUCGAGCGAACGGACGAGAAGCUUGCUUCUCUGAUGUUAGCGGCGGACGGGUGAGUAACACGUGGAUAACCUACCUAUAAGACUGGGAUAACUUCGGGAAACCGGAGCUAAUACCGGAUAAUAUUUUGAACCGCAUGGUUCAAAAGUGAAAGACGGUCUUGCUGUCACUUAUAGAUGGAUCCGCGCUGCAUUAGCUAGUUGGUAAGGUAACGGCUUACCAAGGCAACGAUGCAUAGCCGACCUGAGAGGGUGAUCGGCCACACUGGAACUGAGACACGGUCCAGACUCCUACGGGAGGCAGCAGUGGGGAAUAUUCCGCAAUGGGCGAAAGCCUGACGGAGCAACGCCGCGUGAGUGAUGAAGGUCUUCGGAUCGUAAAACUCUGUUAUUAGGGAAGAACAUAUGUGUAAGUAACUGUGCACAUCUUGACGGUACCUAAUCAGAAAGCCACGGCUAACUACGUG